AAGACUGCACCAAGGUGAAGUGC
rnacentral:piRNA from 1 species